AUGGGUUCUGAAACAGUGCCAAAAAUUCCUGUUGUUCAUUUGUCCAAGGAAAACUUCGAGCCUGGCUCUAGUUCCUGGCUGGCGGCUUGCAAUGAUAUCCGGCGAGCACUUGAGGAAUACAGCUUCUUUGAAGUAGUAUACAGCGAACCUUCAAUUGAACUUUACAGGGAAAUUAUAUCGGUGCUAGAGGAAUUGUUCAAUCUCCCUGAUGAAACAAAAACCAGAAAUACACAUCCUAAGAUCGGCCACGGUUACAUGGGGAAAAUCUCUGGCUUCCCUGAGGGCUUGGGGAUCGAGUAUGCAACAAAGAAAGAUGAAUGUCAAAAAUUUACAAGCUUAUGUGGCCCGAUGGAAAUGAAAGAUUCUGGUAAGAUCUGCAUAUUAUUAUAUUAUGAUUAAAUAUUUCUCUUUUUCCUUUUCCUUCGACCGAUCAUCUGAAUCCUUGCAUAUAGCUGUAUCCUCCUAUGCUAACAUUAAUGUGAGCUUAAUUAGUAUGAUUUACUUGCUUUUUGUUUGUAUCUUUAGUGAUGUCAUCCACUCUUAUACGAAGAUAGCAUCUGAACUAAAUCAGAUGCUGGUAAGGAUGUUGUUUGAAAGCUAUGGAUUGAAGAAAGACUACGAGCCUCUCCUAAACUCAACAAAUUACCUCCUACGUCUGUUGAAAUAUGGAAGAUCACUCGGGGAGACGAAUGUUGGUUUUAAGGCUCAUAUGGACAAGACUUUCUUCACUCUACUUUAUCAAAAUCCUGUUAACGGUUUAGAGAUAAGAACCAAGGAAGGAGAGUGGAUUACGUACGAGCCUUCUUCACCAACUUCAUUUGCUGUCAUAGCUGGUGAUGUAUGCAUGGUGGGUUUAUCCUAUUUCUUAUUUUACAAGAUUCCUAUUUCAAACGAUACACACACACACACUUAAUGGAUUCAUAACUCUUGAUCAUGAAUUGUGUUGUUUGAAUAGAAAAUCUUGGUUGGUGUUGUGUAGGCAUGGAGCAAUGACAGGAUAAAAUCUUCUUACCAUCGAGUCGUUGUAAGCAGCGAAGAAGACAGAUAUGCACUGGGGUUAUUCACAUUCCUAGAUGGGGUGGUGCAAACAGCAGAGGAGCUAGUAGAUGAUGAACACCCAUUACAGUACAAGCCCUUUGAACACCUGAAGCUUCUUGAUUUCUAUGAAUCAUCCAAUGAUCCGGAUAAACGUGACAUCAAUAUCAUGAAAACCUUCUGUGGUGUUUAAUACUCUAAAAUGGAAUGGGAUUAUGCUGCUUGACAUGUCUCCUUUUCUUUUGUUUUUCCUCGGUCGAUUGCUUUAAACCAGUCUUAUUUGUACCUCUUGGGUGAAUCUCUAAAAUGUAAUGGGAUUAUGCUGCUUGACAUGUCUCCUUUUCUUUUGUUUUUCCUCGGUCGAUUGUUUUCAACCAGUCUUAUUUGUAUCUCUUGGGUGAAUGAAGUGUUUAAUUAUUUGGUGAAGGCCAGGAGUCAUGUUCUACCUUGGGAUUAUUGAUCUUGUUUGCAAACAACUUUUAAUUUUGCGAUUAGAUCUCUGAAGUUUCAGAAAUUCUAAAUUUAAGCCCUUCCAUCAAUAUCUUUCUAUAUUGUUGUAGGAAUUAUUUAUUGCAGAGAAUAUUUAAGCCCUUCCAUCAAUAUCUCUAAAAAUAUUUGAAUAAUUUGAUAAAAAUUAACAUUACCAGAAAUUCAACUAAAACCAUCAGAAUUACCGACGCAAUUUUUCUAUUGGUAAUUUACGUCCAUCAGUUCAAUAAGACCCCAACAAAUUUGAGUCCAACAAAAGCUUUAGCCAAUUCAAGUCCAGUAAAGAUCUUGGAAGAUUCCUUUAAAUUCAACCCUAUUAAUUAGAAAAUCCAACUCUGUCAACAUAAAUGAGAGUCAACUCUUUAAUCAGGAAGAUCCAAGAAAAUUCAACCUACUACUCAAGAAAUUCAACCCUACCAUCAGGAAUUAGCGUCAACCUUACAAUCAAGAAGCUCCAUGGAAAUUCAGCCUUAUUAAUCAGGAAAUUCAAACAUGCCAUCAAGAAACAAUGGCAACUUUAUAAUCAUGAAGCACAAAGAAAAUUCAACCAAGAAAAAGUGAACCUUGCAAGCAAGAAGCACCAUAAUGUUUAGCCAGCCUUGUGCGGCGUCGCGGAGAUCGUCCACCCUUAAAAAAAUGGAAAUGGGUCUAUCUGGAAAAUAUAGAGACACAAAGAAUUUUUGUCUUUAUCAGUAAAAUAUGGAUUGGGAGUCGCCACCUAGUAUUCUAGUCACUAGAAAUCCUAACUGGUCUUAGAGAUCAGGUAUGAACACUGGUUGCGUAAAGGGAAGGUACUAGCACCCCAACUACGCCCUACCUAAGGUAAGGUGCAUUGUUUUGUCAGAUAAAAUCUAAAGUCUUGUUGUGGUUUCUAAUUGUCGGUCCGUUUACGGUUUAAGAAAAGUCCUCAUCUGAAAGGAGAUCCUUACCUUAUCGGGUAAAAACCUAACUACUCUAAGUCAUCAAAAGAAAAUACCUUUUUAAUAUCGGGUGUACGUUUUAUGUAUAAAUUCAUAAUUCUUGAUACUAAAACAAAACAAAAUAAAAAUUUUGUUGUUUUUGAAAAUUUGGCCAAUGUUCUCUAGACUUUAAUAAACUGGUUAUUAAAGCCAAAAUGUAUGCUUAAACAUUGUUUUUUGGUGUAUGAAAAACAACAUGAUAUGAUUAUUUUUAGCUUUGAGACACUUGGCUGCAUGCAUAGAAAACAUUAUUUUUUCUUCUUUUCAAAUUUGUUUUUGUAUUUUGAAAGUUUUGACAAAAACCAGGUAUUUUAAUACCGAAUUUUGUAUUUUUUCAAAAUAAAAUAUAGACUGAUAUUAAGCAAUAGGACAUAGAAAAUACAUUGGAAAAUUGUAAAAUCCCAAAAAAUAUUUGUUAAAUGUGUUUUUUUUAUUCUAGAAAUGGACUACUCCCGACCCAAAUCAGUGGGCUGUGCUAGGCUGGAUUCAGCCCAAAACUAAAGGGGUUAGUUACUGUGCGUAAGCACAGAAACCAGGCCCUACCUCAUUUGCUGGUAAGGGCGAAGCAAGAAUAAAAUAAACAGGGCAUCAGGAGGUUACCUGGGGUGGUGCAGCUUGAGCGUGGCCGUUAGUGGCGGUGACAUGGCAACCUCUCCCCUGUUUUCUCUCUUCUUCUGUCCAGAGGCAAGAGCCUUUUUUUUCUUUUCUUUCUUCUUCUACUCUAAGAGUUGCUGCUAGUGGUGGCAAUGGAGAGGAGGCGCAAUGGUGGCGCUGCUGGGUUAAAGGUGGCCGGUGGUGGUUCUUCUUCUACUCCAAUUCCCCAAACAUUUCAUCCUAAUAUGCUUCAAACAAAAUUAGACAGCAGGUUCGUCUUCAUAUUAGGGGUGUCUUCCAAUUCUAUCUACCCGGCCUUAAUUAAUUGUAGAAACUUUCUCUUGAAGGCGUUGCAGGUAUGGAUGUUAUGCCUAGCAAUACCAGCAUGGUAUUCACAAUUGAGUUCUAGCUUGUACCAAUUAGGAUAAGGUGGCUGUAGAGGUGUCAGAGGUUUUAGAGCAAUCUGCCUGAUGCUCAAUAGCUUUUGAUACAUCUCAUUCAGGGCUAGCGAUAGUGGAGGUAGUUACCUUUAUGGGAAUUUGCUUAUUUUAGAUGAUUUAAAUUUCAUUGAAAAAUUAAAUUAAUACAUUUAAAAGAAUUUCCAACAGAACAACUAAUUUAAUCCUAUAACUGAAUUCAAUUCACAAUAAAGAAAAUCUUCUUACCAUCGAGUCUGUAAGAAGGAAGCCCUUUUCCUUCUCCUUUCAACCGACAAAGCUCCCCUGCACUCUCUUUUCCCUGCCGCCAACCUCCAAACCACAACAGCCACACAUUGUCCCCACACACUUCGCCUCCAGCCGCUACCUCGCAGGUACGUCUUGCAAACUUUGAGAAUAUAUUCACAUGGUUUCUUAUCUUUAAUUGCGAUUAACUGUGAUGCUUGUGGUUUUUGACAAAAAAAUAUAAAAAUAUGUUUUUGUGUGUUGCAUACGGCCAAUACCCUAACAUGUUUUUUUAAUGUCUUAAAAAAAAAACAAAUAUUUGAACUUUCAAAAUUGUGUUUUCGCAUGGAUUUCUUAAACACAACAAAAAAAUUAUUUUCUUGCAUUUCUGGAUUUUACAACAUGUUUGUAAAACUCCAAAGGGUAUUGACCAAUAUUCCAAAAAAAUACAAAAAUCUUAUUUUGGGGGGAAUUCAUUUAUUAUUCACCGUUAAUGUUUGGAUAAAGAAAUCCCAAAGGGAUGAAUAUCCAAAAUAUUAUUAGGAAUAACUUGUUAUUAUUUACUGUUAAUAUUUGGAUAAAAAAGCCCUAAGCGGUAAAUAUCUAAAAUAAUUUUCUAGGAAUAAUAAGUCAUCAAACAUCCUUGAAAAAAGCCUUGAUUAUAAUUGAGGACAUUUUAAUUUUACUCCACGGUUUACGAGCCAUGAGAAUAUGAAACACUAAGGCAAAAAUAGGCUUUUAAAGUGCCUUGAAUUUCCUUAGAUUUCUAAUUUUUUUGUCCCUCCUCCUUGUGAUUUACGAGUCGCAAAACUCUUGAAAAACUAAGGGAAAAUUGAGCUUUCGAAGCACAUGGAAUCUCCUUGGAUUACUAUCCUAAUAAAUUUAGGUUGAAUCAAACCUAGAAAAAUUGAUGGGAUUACAAAACAUCAACACCGUAGCAAUUAUAAAGCAAACCAAACACUAAACAACUUACCUUAGGUAGGGCGUACUAGGGGUGCUAAUACCUUCUCUUUACGCAACUAGUCCCUUGCCUUAGAAUCUCUGAAAGACCAGUUAGGGUUCCUAGUGACCAAAAUACUAGGUGCUGACUCCAAAGAACCAAUCAAGCAAAAUAAUAAACGAAAAAAUCACCAUCGGAUGCCGCAUGGGUGACGUACGACAGAAUGACGACUCCGUUGGGACCUUAGACUAAGCUUGGUAAUUGUUUUUUUUUUAUGCUAUGUGUUGUUUUUUUUUUAAUUAUGAAUGAUACUUUGUUUAAAAGCUUUAAAAUGCAUCUAUACAUUAUGUCAUACAUGGUGUAGUCAUUCAUCACUUUAUUAUUAUUUUCUUUUUUGAGGGCACACACAUUAAAUUUUAAGUUAAGUGGGGGACUAAUAGCUUGCCUUGAUUGAGUCAAAGUUUAAGUUUGUGUAAACCCUAACGCUUUGUUGAGUGUUUAGACUGAUAGUGAUUGGUACAAGUGCCAUCCCACUAUCUGCUGAACCCCUAUAUUGCCUUUACGAGGGUGAUCACUAGGACAACAAGAGACUCUCGUUUAGAGACCAAGUAGUAAACCUACCCAAUGUCUCACAUAAAGGAACUAGAACCUAUCCUUAGGAUGUAUGCUCCAUAAUAUCUUUUUGCAUCCAACAAGCCUAAGCUCAAAGCAUCUUGAAUCUCAAGACUUCAUUCAAAAGCUAGCCAAGGGAGAGAUGUUCCAGAAUUGGGAGACCCAAAAAGUUCCAUUGGUUUCAAAAUUUAAUCAACAAUGCUUGUUUAAUCAUGAUAUUGUGUUGUUUGCCUUUUUCAACUUUUUAAAUCGAGGUUCCAAAUGUUAAUGGGAUUUUUAUGCUUUUCUUUUAGCCAACCUUUUCCUUUUAAUGAGAUCAUGUAUUUUCAAAAGUUCAUCUUGGUGUUUUUACACAUCACUUUCCUUUUCAAAGUGAAUCUUCCAUAACUACACCUACACUUUACACUGAGAAUGAAUUGCCAAACGUUAAAGAAUACAUAUUAGUUGUAAAAGAGGAAGAAUGGUAGGAAAAUAACAUUAGGGGAUUCAAAAAAAUUAAUAACAUGAACAAGCUUGGAUCAGGAAUUAGAAAAUCCAACUCUGUCAACAUAAAUGAGAGUCAACUCUUUAAUCAGGAAGAUCCAAGAAAAUUCAACCUAUUAGUCAAGAAAUUCAACCCUACCAUCAGGAAUUAGCGUCAACCUUACAAUCAAGAAGCUCCAUGGAAAUUCAGCCUUAUUAAUCAGGAAAUUGAAACAUGCCAUCAAGAAACAAUGGCAACUUUAUAAUCAUGAAGCACAAAGAAAAUUCAACCAGAAAAAGUAAACCUUGCAAGCAAGAAGCACCAUAAUCGUCCACCCUUAAAAAAAAUGGAAAUGGGUCUAUCUGGAAAAUAUAGAGACACAAAGAAUUUUGGUCUCUUAUCAGUAAAAUAUGGAUUGGGAGUCGCCACCUAGUAUUCUAGUCACUAGGAACCCUAACUGGUCUCAGAGAUCAGGUACGAACACCGGUUGCAUAAAAGGAAGGUACUAGCACCCCAACUACGCCCUACCUAAGGUAAGGUGCAUUGUUUUGUCAGAUAAAAUCUAAAGUCUUGUUGUGGUUUCUAAUUUUCGGUCCGUUUACGGUUUAAGAAAAGUCCUCAUCUGUAAGGAGAUCCUUACCUUAUCGGGUAAAAACCUAACUACUCUAAGUCAUCAAAAGAAAAUACCUUUUUAAUAUCGGGUAUACGUUUUAUGUAUAAAUUCAUAAUUCUUGAUACUAAAACAAAACAAAAUAAAAAUUUUGUUGUUUUUGAAAAAUUUGGCCAAUGUUUCUCUAGACUUAAUAAACUGGUUAUUAAAGCCAAAAUGUAUGCUUAAACAUUGUUUUUUGGUGUAUGAAACACGAUAUUAUUUUUUUAGCUUUGAGACUGGCUGCAUGCAUAGAAACAUUAUUUUUUCUUUUUUCAAAAUUUUUUGUUUUUGGAAGUUUGAAAAAACCAGGUUUUAAUACCAGAUUUUUAUUUUUUCAAAAUAAAAUAUAGACUGAUAUUAAGCAAUAGGACAUAGAAAAUACCGAGAAAAUUGUAAAAUCCCAAAAAAUAUUUGUUAAAUGUGUUUUUUUUUAUUAUGGAAAUGGGCCGCACCCGGCCUAAAUCAGUGGGCUGUGCUAGGCUGGAUUCAGCCCGAAACUAAAGGGGCUAGUUACUGUGUGUAAGCACAGUAACCAGGCCCUACCUCAUUUACUGGUAAGGGCGAAGCAAGAAUAAAAUAAACAGGGCAUCAGGAGGUUACCCGGGGGUGGUGCAGCCUGAGCGUGGCCGUUAGUGGCGGUGACAGUGGCAACCUCUCCCCUGUUUUCUCUUCUUCUGUCCAGAGGCAAGAGCUUUUUUUUUUUCUUUUCUUUUCUUCUUCUGCUCGAAGAGUUGCUGCUGGUGGUGGCAAUGGAGAGGAGGCGCAAUGGUGGCGUUGCUGGUUAAAGGUUGCCGGUGGUGGUUCUUCUUCUACUCCAAUUCCCAAACAUUUCAUCCUAAUAUGCUUCAAACAAGAUUAGACAGAAAGUUCGUCUUCAUAUUAGGAGCGUCUUCCAAUUCUAUCUACCCGACCUUAAUUUUUAGAAACUUUCUCUUGAAGGCGUUGCAGGUAUGGAUGUUAUGCCUAGCAAUACCAGCAUGGUAUUCACAAUUGAGUUAUGGCUUGUACCAAUUAGGAUAAGGUGGCUAUAGAGGUGUUAGAGGUUUUGGAGCUAUCUGCCUGAUGCUCAAUAGCUUUUGAUACAUCUCAUUCAGGGGUAGCGGUAGUGGAGGUAGUUGUUCUUGAACCCUUUGGUAAUUUCCAAUUUGGCUUUUAGCUUGAAAGUUUUGGGGUUCAUGAUUUUUUAUAUUGGCAAUUUGGGAUGGUGUGGUAGUUUUGGGAUGUUUUUCCUACCCUUGUAGCCAUCUUAACAUGAUGGACCUCUUUUCUCGAUGGGUGCAAAAAUUCUAGCACUUUUGACACCUUGCUCUAUGCAUUCACACACUACCACAACAUCAGUGAAUUGCUGGGCCGAACUACCCAUCACAUGUUCGUAAUAGGAUGCUUUGAGUGUGUUGGCUAAUAAAGAGACCAUCUUUUAUCUAAAAGUGGAGGAUGUACUUGAGCAGCUGAUUCCCGCCAUCUUUGAGCAUAUUCCCUUAUGCUUUGUCCUUUUUCUCUAGAUUGGACAAGUUGGUUUUGUCGGGAGCGAUGUCCAUGUUAUACUUGUAUAGCUUGACAAAAGCAUCCACCAGAUCUUUCCAGCUCUGAAUUUUUGUGUUGUCCAAUCUCAUGUACCAGCUCAAUGUUGCCUAACUUAAGCUGUCUUGGAAAAAGUACGUACUACUUCUGCCAUUUUAUUGCAAUAGGACUUGAGGUGAGUUAUAGGGCAUUGUGUUCCACUAUAUUUGAUGAACUCAGGAACACAAAACUUCUUUGGAAAAACCACGUUUGGGACCAAACACAUCUCUACUGCCCGUACCGGGUCAUAUAAGUCUACCCCAUUAAUGACUUUGAGUUUCGCUUCUAGUGCCUUUAUCUUAGCUUGAUCAAUGCUAUUAGAUGGCUUGGCCUUGUGGGACUGGUUAGCAGAUGCCUCCAUGGUUGUCGGGGCUGGUGCAGGUGUUACUGACUGCACAAAUGUUGGAUUUUCCUAAGGCUCUUGACCAUGUUCACACAUUCUUUCUUCAGGCUGAACUAUAGUAGGAGCCGGAUUAAAGGUGACGGUGGAUUAGAAGGACCUUCACCAAAGGUAUUUCUCAGUGUUUUGCUCGAGUAAGCUAGUGAGGUGAGCCACACUUGUUUUUAGAGACUCCAUCUUUUCUUGGAAAUAGGCAUCACGUUGAGUACGCUCUUCAACUUUCAUGCUUCUCGCUCUAAGUCGGAUGUUAUAGACUUUUUGGGGACCUAUUUUUCAAUCUGAUGCAUGUAUGUUAAAUGUAUGAAUAUGUAAUUUAUAUGAUAGACUUUCCCUUCGAGAGGUGACAUAUGAUCGUAACUCUUAUAUGAUGAAACAAGAAUCUUGAUUCUUGCCCACACUCUACAAUGAAAAUUUUAUGAGUGAUGAUCAUUAUAUCACCCGUAAGUCUUGAGUUCAAGAUGCUUCAAUAAGGGUUUGCCUUGUUGUAAAUAAAGAUAACACAUACAACCUAAGGACAUGUUCUAUUUAUUAUGUGAACAUGGGUAGGUUUUCUACCUGGUCUCAAAAGGGUCUCAUAUCUACUUAGUGAAGAUCUUCGUAAAGACAGUAUAAAGGCAUUGCGAGAAAUGAUUAAGGCACGUAUACCCACCAUUACCAAGCAGGCACUCAGAUAUGAGUUGGUUGUUUCACGCAUUUGAACCCUAACCAAUGGUCAUAGGGCAGAUCGCUAGUUCCCCACUUAACUUAGAAGCUUGUGUGUGCUUGCUUGCCAAAAAAUUAAAUCAUAUGAUGCAUGAGGCAAUUCUAUAUAAUGCAUGAACAAAUAUGUACAGAAAUUAAAGCGCAUAAGAAAUAAAUAAAGAAAAUGCAUAUUUCAAUAAACACGCAAACCACAACAAUAACACAAAAAUCACACAAAACAAAGCUUAGUCCACAAGCUUCCUAGUGAAGUCGCCAUUCUGUCGCACGUGUGCGGCAUCGUGGCGAUCGUCCACUCUCAAGGAAAAUGGAAAUGGGUCUAUCUGGAAAAUAUAGAGAUAAAAGGAAUUCUUGUCUCUUAUUAGUAAAAUAUAGAUUGGGAGUCGCCACUUAGUAUUUUGGUCACUAGGAACCCUAGCUGGUCUUAGAGAUCAAGUAUGGACACUGAUUGAGUAAAGGAAAUGUAUUAGCACCCCAACUACGCCCUACAUAAGGUAAGCUGCAUUGUUUUGUCUGAUAAAAUCUAAAGUCUUGUUGUGGUUUCUAAUUGUUGGUCCGUUUACGGUUUAAAAAAAGUCCUCAUCUAUAAGGAGAUCCUUACUUUAUCAGGUAAAAACCUAACUGCUCUAAGUCCUCAAAUGAAAAUACCAUUUUAAUAUUGGGCAUAUGUUUUAUGUAUAAAAUUGUAAUUCCUGAUACUAAAACAAAAUAAAAUAAAAAUUUUGUUGUUUUUUAAAUUUUGGCCAAUGUUCUUUUGACUUUAAUAAACUUGUUAUUAAAGCCAAAAUAUAUGCUAAAACAUUAUUUUUUGGUGUAUGUAAAACACGAUAUGAUUAUUUUUAGCUUUGAGACACUUGGCAGUAUGCACAAAAAACAUGUUUUUUUUCUUCUUUUCAAAUUUUUUUGUAUUUUGGAAGUUUUGAUGAAAACCAGGUAUUUUAAUACUGGAUUUUGUAUUUUUUUUAGAUAAAAUAAAGACUGAUAUUAAGCAAAAUUACAUAGAAAAUACGCGAGAAAAACUGUAAAAUUCCAAAAAAUAAUUGUUAAAUGUGUUUUUUUUAUUCUAGAAAUGGGCCGGACCUGGCCCAGAUCAGUGGGCUGGGCCGGAUUCGACCCAAGGAAUUAUUCAUGUUUUGCAUGCAAAUGGAGGCAAGGGUGAAGCAAGAAGAAAAUAAACAGGGCAGCAAGAGGUUACCUGGCGUGGUGCAGCCUAAGAGUGGCUGUUAGCGGCGAUGACGGUGACAAUGGCAGCCUUUCCCCUGUUUUCUCUUCUUAUGUGCAGAGGUGAAAGCCUCCAUUUUUUUUCUUUUCUUUUAUUUUUCUGUUCGACGAGCUGCUACUGCUGGUGGAAAUGGAGAGGAGGCGCAACGGUGGCGCUGCUGGGUUGAAGGUGGCCGACGGUGGUUCUUCUUCUUCUUCCUCUGUUUUUCUCCCUUUUUUAUGUCUUUCUGUUUUUGUUCUCUCUUUUUCUCUCAAUUUUCCUUUUUUUUUUCUUUCAAUCUCCAGACCUUCUUUGCUCUUUUGUCUUUUUUCUUAUCCUCCCCUGUUUUUAUAGGAAAAAACAGGGAGCGACGUGGCUCGGGCGGCCAUUAUGCUGCCGCCCCAUGAUUGCACGAUGGUCAUGUUCCCUCCUUUUUUUAAUGCCCAUGGUAGGCCACGGGUAGGUUAUACACGUGGGGCUAUGGUCGACACCUUUUUAUGCUUUUAAGGAAGAGAAGUUGGAGACAGAGGAAGAAAAAUCUUCUUCUUCCCCUGCUUCGUGCAUCCAGGGGAAGAAGAAGACCCACAUUGCCGUCAAAACAACACCGUUUUAGGUUUUUCCUUUAUUGUUUUUUUGUUUUUUUGUUUUUUGUUUCAUGAACAGUGCAUGAAACGGCACCGUUUUGAACAAAACGCGCCGUUUAAUUUAAAAGGAAAAGGCGGCAAAAACAUGUCAGAGUUCAGAUUGGUCCUUAAUUUGUGAUUUGUUCAAUCAAGUCCUCAAUUGCAAUUUUGAUUUAAUUAACAAUGCAAUUGCAUCCCUGCCAAAAAUCAAACAGCGAACCUAAAGUUAGCCACCUUUUUCACUUUGGUCCUUGGUCUUGAAUUAGUGCAAUUGGACCCUCAAUUGAGCAAUAAACUUCUAAUUUCUUCAAUUUAGCUCAUGAUCUGGUUUAAUUACAGCCCCUCUAUUUACGCAUCUUUUCCAAUUUGGUCCGUGGUUUUGAAUUUCUUCAAUUAAGUCCAUAAUUGGCCAUCAAACUUCAAUAUUUAUGCAAUUAAGCCUCUGAUUUGACCAAAUUAAAUCUAAAAAAAUUUAAUUUGAUGUCAGAACUUUAAUUUCCUCCAAUUAAAGCCCAAAUUAACUCAAAAAUCAUUUUUUGUUGCAAUCAAAACCUCCAUAAAUUCAAUUAAACCUUCAAUAAAAUUUAAUUGAGUCCAUAAACAUUUAAUUUUGGAAUUUUCUUUGUCAACAUGGCUCUCAUCAGUCAAUAAAAUACUGUCAAAUUUUAAUCUUUGUAUUCUUAAACCUCCUGAUCCAAUUUUUGACUAUUUUCUGAGCACUUUGGCAUCCUCUCAUGCUAUUAUUUUUUUGAUAAUAUUUUAUUAUUAUUUUAUUUUAUUUUAUUAUGUUUUAUGCGGAUACCCAAAAAUAGGUUACAACAUGCUUCAGAAUUUCUGAUUCAGAUUAUUGAGUUUCCAUACAUUUUUGCACAACUUGUAGCCUAUAGCAUCAUAGUCUAUUCAAUGACAUGAUUUGAAUGGACUGUUGCUAAAUUCUUGUGGUAUCUGUUCAGCUUUUAUGGUAUCUAUUGAAUGCACAUUAUUGCAGUUGCACCAAAUCACCACAUUGCUGCCAUAUUUCCUCAGCUACAUGUGAUUAUAAAGACAUGCUUGACAGUGGAAGAUCUUAUGGGAAUUUGCUUAUUUUAGAUGACUUAAAUUUCAUUGAAAAAUUAAAUUAAUACAUUUAAAAGAAUUUCCAACAGAGCAACUAAUUUAAUCCUAUAACUGAAUUCAAUUCACAAUAAAGAAAAUUUUCGAUAUGCAGUGGAAGAAGAAUUGAAAAGGCCCAGUAGUUUACAAUUUAAAGAGGUUUAAUUCGUGGGUAGCUAGCCUAUGUUCAUGUGCUAGGCAGAGCCGAAUCUUAAGUUUUCUUUUUGGGACUUCUUGAAAGACGAGGACAUGUUUCUUAAUUGAAUAGGGCACCACUUCUAGGACAAGGCCGAAUAGAUGGUGAUGGAUGAAAUGUAUGCAUAUUAAAGUAAAUAAAAAAUCAAAUCAAUUAAAUAUUAAUAAAUAAAAACAAAUUUAAUUAAACAAAUAACAAAAUUAGAACCCACCUCAAAAUAACUUAUGAUUCGGGUUAUAAGAUUAUAAUAGCUUUAUAAAAAACAUAUUGAAAUAAAUUAUGAAGUUUAAUUCGUAAAAAACUUAAUAUAGAUGAAAUUGAAAAUAAAAAUUAAAUAUUUAAUAAAAAAAACAAGUCAUCACAAUUCUAAUAAACAAGGGUAAAAGUGAAUUCUGUUUAUUAUAAUUAUAAUAUCAUAUGUAUAUAUUUAAGAUAUUGUGAACAAUAAUGUAAGGUUAUAUGUGGUAAAUAAAUAUGUAGUUAAAUAAUUAAGAGUUAUAAAUAACCUUAAACAAUAGAUUAAUAAAUUAAAAAUAUCUUUAGAUAUAUAAAAUUAUUAUAUAUACUGUAACACUGAAUACAAGAAUAAUUAGGCAUCAAGAAUUUUAUGCCAAGAAAAGAUUCCAAAUAACUUUGGCAUAAUAUGGACCACUUUGCAUCUAACUAUAAAUUUAUAUGAUAUUGGGAAAAUAAUAAAUUAUCUCCUUAGUUUCAAUACCUCAACAAUGACCCGUUAAUUAAUUUUAUAAUGUAAAAUUAAUAACAUAAUCACCACUAUGAAUCAAGGACCAUUACUUUUUUAUUCUUAGGGACCAGAUUUUGACCCUUCAAAUACAACAAUCAAAGCAUACGCAUUGGUGCACAUCUUGUCUUUGAUUUCAUAUAUAUUAAAAAAAAAUUGUGCCUAUAUAUAUAUAUUAUAUACACAUCCUUGCUCAAUCGGGGCCUACUUUCUUAUAUUUAUUAUUUUUAACGUUAAGGACCAUAUUUUUUUUUAUUUUCUAUGGAAUCAGGGACCACAUUUAGACCCUUCGCUACAAUUUAAAUCUCAUUGAGUAUAUAAUUAGAGAGAUACAAAUAUAUAUAUCUCCUUCCACUGCCUCAAUAAUGAUAUCAUAAUUGUCUAUUUUGGUUGAUGAGGUGUACCAAGAUUGAAUGGGAAACUUAACGUUAUUAUUACAUUCCAUCCAUUUCAAUCUACAUCAUAAAAAGCUUUGUAAUUGAUAUUUUACCUGCUCCAUGCAAUAAAUAAUAAUUAAAAAUUUAACGACUUCAUCAAACCUUUUUAUGAUAUAGAUUCAAUGAAUGGAAAUUCAAUAUAAGGUUUAAAAACUUUUAUAUGAUUAAAAGUUAUAUUAGUUUUUAAAGCAUUUUGGUCGUUGAUAGUAUUUUAUAAUUUUAGGUUAUUAAUGAAAUUUGAUAAUUUAACUAUGAGUUUCAUUGUAAAACUCAUGUUCUAGAUAACUUAGUUAUAUGACUCACGCGAUGCUACGGGUCAAUUUUUUUGCAUAAAAAAUAUCAAAAUAUACUAAGAUCUAAGAAUGUUAGGUCUUUCUACAAAGAUAUAUUCAAAAGCCUUGGGUCUAGCUACAAUGCUUGACCCAAUACUACUAUUUAUAAUAUUAAUAAUAAUAUUAAAUUUACAUGACUUAAGUUUAAGUGAGCCUGACUGCAACACCGAACCCAAGAGCAUUGGAUGUGGGUCUGGCUAUAAGGUCGUGUCAUAAAAGUGUGAUAAUUAAAUAGAUUAAUUAAAAAGAAAAAAAGCUCAAUAGGAAGAAAAAAACUAAUGAAGAAAAAGAAAAAAAGUUGAAUUAACUGGGUUAACCCGUCAAACCUGGGAUUCGCAUAAUGAAAGUUUGAUAACUAAAUAGAAAAAAAAAUAUUGACGGGUUUACCUAGAAUUAAUUGAGUUAACCUGUCAAACCAAGUUAACCCGUCAAGCCCGGAAUAUGUGUCAUGAAAGUCUGAUAAUUAAAUAUAAAUAAAUUUAACAUUAACAAACUAAACUAAAUGAAAAAAAUUAAUUAAAAAGAAAAAAAAUCCAGGUUAACCCGUCAAAUCAGGUUAACCCAUCAAACCCGGGAUCUGUGUUAUGAAAGUCUGAAAACUAAAUAAAAAAAAACAUUUAACAUUAAAAAACUAAAUUAAACAAAAACAAUUCAUUAAAAAAAAAAAACAGUUUAGGUUUCAUUUACUUUUUAGUAUAUUCUAUAAUAUAAUUAUAAUUAUAAUAUAAUAAAUAUAAUAAUAUAAUAAUAUACUAUAUUAAAAAUGAAAAAAGUGAAAGGCAUAGGGAAAACUACAGUACUUUUCCCAUGUCUUUUAGAGUAUUUAUUAAUUCAUUAUCAGCUUUAUAUUUUUAUUAUUAUUUAUAUAUAUGACGUGGGAUUUGUAGCUCACAAGUAAUAAUAUGUAUAAGAAAAAAUUAAUAAUAUAUUAAAUAUUAAAUCAUGAUUUCAGCAUCAAAUGAUGUUGUUGAUGAAAUCAUUUUAAUCCCACCAACAUUAAUUCUAUCUUAUGCAAAAUAAGUACUUUAAGUUAUUAUGUAAAUCAUCAUAAUUGUUUUAUUGAUUAUUGGGUUAGAUCUGAUGCACUUAUAUGGAAUGAGUUUGGUUCAAGAUUUUUUUUAUUUUGGUUAAAAUAUUGUUCUAUUUUGGACUCUUUACAAUCAUUUUCAACUAUUUUUGUUUAUUAAAUAUUUUAAUUAAUAAUAAUUGUUAUCAAAAUCUCAAACAGGUCUAAAUAUUAUACCAGAAGGGGAACACAUCAUGCACCUCCUCUCCUUAGGUCUUCUUAUCUAACAUUUUGAUAAAAUUUAAUUAUAUUUGCUUAUUUAGGACCAUAUAUAUAUAUACAAAUAAUUUUGAGAGGAAUAUCAAAUUUAAGAGGCCACUUAACUUGAUGGUGACGCCGCCCUAAACUUAAUUGUCCUAUCGUCUGUUGGUGAUUUAUUUAAGGAUGCAACUUGCAAAAUUAUGACUCUGUGUGAUAAAACUUUUGGCCUCUUACCUGAAUUUUUGAUAGGCAAAAUCUCAAUUAGUAUCUCCAAUGUGUAUGACCAUACAAGAACGCCAAAUAUAAAAAUGUAUUUUAAGAACCAUAAGCGAAAGCAUAUGAUAUAAUUAAUUACAGUUAAACCUUUAUAAAUUAAUAUCUUCGGAUGAUAAAUAUUGAUUUCUUAAUUAAGAUAUUAUUUAUUAAUUGAUCUAUGGGACAGAAGAGGGAUACAAAAGCAAAUGGUCUAUCAAGGCUUAUUGUGGCGUCUGAAAUUAAAGGGAAAAAUGGAUUUGUACAAUAAUUAGUUGAUGCACUCUUCUGCUUGCUGUAUAAGACCUGUUUCUAUGUAUUUUGAUUCCAAUGCCAGUGUUUUUUUUUUGUUUUUUUAAAGGUUGAUUGUUUAUUUUUUUGUUUUUUUUUGUGCUUGCAUUUCAAAAUGUAUUAAUGUUGCGUACAAGAAGCAAUUUAAUUAAAGCCAUAUGUGGUUAUGGUUAGAAAACUGUUGUUGUUGAUGAUUAUUAUGAUGCCAUAUCAAUAAUCAUGUUGUUCUAUAAUCUUUCACAAGCAUGAACAUAGUCCAGGGCUGGUUCAACAUGAAGUGCUCGUUGGUCCUGUCGAGAAAGUCCAGGUUAAUUAUCCAAGUGAUUUAAUGAGCUGAAAACUAUAAAAUAUAUGGGGAAAUACAACAAAUUAAUCAUUUUAAAUGAAAAUGAGAGUCAUCCUUCCUUGCUCUCUCAAAUAGAUCAAAAAAGUAAGAUUAAUGUAUAAUCUUAGUAUUUGAUCCUAUAUUUUCUUGAGAGACAAAAAAUACAAAUUUAAAUAUAUUGAUUCAUUUUAAAUAUAUUUGGAUAUAUGAUAAGAUAUUAAAAUAAUAUAUUUUUUAUUUUAAAAAAAAUUAUUUUCAGGAUAUUAAUUACACCCUUUAUAUAUAAACUAUACAUAAGAGUUAUCUUGUGAUGCAAACAAACAUAACAAUGACCCUAUAAAUAAACUGUUUGGUCGCUGUAUUUGGUUUCAAAACUUUAAAAUAUUUAUACUUCGUACUCGCAUUGUUUACCGCAGCACUAUAUGUACUACUCAUAAAUAAAGUGCGAAUUCACGCCUCAACUACGACCGGCAAGUCAUAGCUUCAAGAUGUGCAUACCGUAUUUUUGGUUACUUAUUUGGAAUUAAAAAAAAUCGAGAAUAAUGAUAGAAUUAUAUUUGAUUAAAGUACAAAAAGACAUGUGUAUAGCAGUUAAAAUAGAAAAUAAAUGAAGAAAUAUGUAUUGUAUCUUUUUUUUUUCCCGGAAUGGUUACUAAAUACUAUCUAAAAUCACAUUUUCUCAUGGUGUUCAUAUGUAUGAUAGUUGUCAAGGCUUAGUUUAGAGUCUAAUCAGAAAAAAAAAAAUAAAAAAAGUUAUUGAAUUAUUUUAUUAAUUUGUGAGUUACUAUGUCAAUCUAUGUAAGAUAUUUUUUAAAAUAAGAUAUCGUUUUAUUUUCUUUGCAAGUCUUUUAAAGCUAGCUACUUUGUAAGUUAUUGAAUUUUUUUAAUUGAUAUUUUUUAUUUGAUUUAUUUUUAAUAUUAAAUUAGUUGAGAAAUGGAUUUUAUAAUUUAAUUUAUUUUGUUUUUUUAUAAGGUUAUUACAAUUUCAAAUAAAAAUUUAUAUUUAGAGUUUGUGCUUGAUUUUACAAAUAUAACUUUUUUCUAUAAAUAAAUAAAAAUAGUAUAUAUAGAUAAUAAAAUUAUUAAACUAAGUAGAGUUUAUAAUUUAGAUUAUAAGAUGAUUAAGGUCAAUUCAAAAUUAUAUCAUCUUAAUAUUUUUUAAAUAUUUUUUUUUAAUUAUAUUUUUAUUGAUUAUUUAAAUUAUAUUUUGACCCAUGUAACCCAAUAAUUAUAUCCAAUAUUUUCAUUUGUCUUGUUAUAGGUCGUUGCGAUACUAACAGUAUAAAUUAUGGAUGGGUAAAACACUAAAUUGUGCACCAUCUCAAACACACUCCAGCAAGAGAGAGCGACGACAACAAUCAUGGGUUCUGAAACAGUGCCAAAAAUCCCUGUUGUUCAUUUGUCCAAGGAAAACUUCGAGCCUGGCUCUAGUUCCUGGCUGGCGGCUUGCAAUGAUAUCCGGCGAGCACUUGAGGAAUACAGUUUCUUUGAAGUAGUACACAGCGAACCUUCAAUGGAACUUUACAGGGAAAUUAUAUCGGUGCUAGAAGAAUUGUUCAAUCUCCCUGAUGAAACAAAAACCAAAAAUACACAUCCUAAGAUCGGCCACGGUUACAUGGGGAAAAUCUCUGGCUUCCCUGAGGGCUUGGGGAUCGAG
rnacentral:lncRNA from 1 species